AUGCUUACCUGGCAGGGGAGAUACCACGAUCACAAAGGUGGAUUUCCCAGGUCGAGGCUCACCCAUUGUACUUGGGAUGUACUGACCCCUGUGACUUCACCAAAUGUGGGAAGCUUGAUUGCAUGAUUUGUGGUCGUGGGGGACUGAAGUGGCGCUCUCCCCUG